rnacentral:rRNA from 1 species
GACUAACGCUGGCGGCGUGCUUAACACAUGCAAGUCACGGGGGCUCGCAAGGGCAACCGGCGAACGGGUGCGUAACACGUGAGGGACCUGCCUGGAAACGGGGGAUAGCCGGCCCAACGGCCGGGUAAUACCGCAUACGCUCUUUGGACGGCAUCGUCUGGAGAGGAAACCUCCGGGGUUUUCAGAGGGCCUCGCGGCCUAUCAGCUAGUUGGCGGGGUAACGGCCCACCAAGGCGACGACGGGUAGCUGGUCUGAGAGGAUGGCCAGCCACAUUGGGACUGAGAGACGGCCCAGACUCCUACGGGAGGCAGCAGUGGGGAAUCUUGCGCAAUGGCCGAAAGGCUGACGCAGCGACGCCGCGUGUGGGAGGAAGCUCUUCGGGGUGUAAACCACUGUUGCCCGGGACGAACGAUGCGUUUGGACGCAUGUGACGGUACCGGGUGAGGAAGCACCGGCUAACUCCGUGCCAGCAGCCGCUGUAA